GAUGAACGCUGGCGGCGUGCCUAAUACAUGCAAGUCGAGCGAACAGACGAGGAGCUUGCUCCUCUGACGUUAGCGGCGGACGGGUGAGUAACACGUGGAUAACCUACCUAUAAGACUGGGAUAACUUCGGGAAACCGGAGCUAAUACCGGAUAACAUGUUGAACCGCAUGGUUCAACAGUGAAAGACGGUCUUGCUGUCACUUAUAGAUGGAUCCGCGCCGCAUUAGCUAGUUGGUAAGGUAACGGCUUACCAAGGCAACGAUGCGUAGCCGACCUGAGAGGGUGAUCGGCCACACUGGAACUGAGACACGGUCCAGACUCCUACGGGAGGCAGCAGUAGGGAAUCUUCCGCAAUGGGCGAAAGCCUGACGGAGCAACGCCGCGUGAGUGAAGAAGGUCUUCGGAUCGUAAAACUCUGUUAUUAGGGAAGAACAAAUGUGUAAGUAACUAUGCACGUCUUGACGGUACCUAAUCAGAAAGCCACCGCUAACUACGUG
rnacentral:rRNA from 1 species